rnacentral:rRNA from 1 species
AGAGUUUGAUCCUGGCUCAGGAUGAACGCUGGCGGCGUGCCUAAUACAUGCAAGUCGAACGAAACUUCUUUAUCACCGAGUGCUUGCACUCACCGAUAAAGAGUUGAGUGGCGAACGGGUGAGUAACACGUGGGCAACCUGCCCAAAAGAGGGGGAUAACACUUGGAAACAGGUGCUAAUACCGCAUAACCAUAGUUACCGCAUGGUAACUAUGUAAAAGGUGGCUAUGCUACCGCUUUUGGAUGGGCCCGCGGCGCAUUAGCUAGUUGGUGAGGUAAAGGCUUACCAAGGCAAUGAUGCGUAGCCGAACUGAGAGGUUGAUCGGCCACAUUGGGACUGAGACACGGCCCAAACUCCUACGGGAGGCAGCAGUGAGGAAUAUUGGUCAAUGGACGCAAGUCUGAACCAGCCAAGUAGCGUGCAGGAUGACGGCCCUCCGGGUUGUAAACUGCUUUUAGUUGGGAAUAAAGUGCAGCUCGUGAGCUGUUUUGUAUGUACCAUCAGAAAAAGGACCGGCUAAUUCCGUGCCAGCAGCCGCGGUAAUACGGAAGGUCCAGGCGUUAUCCGGAUUUAUUGGGUUUAAAGGGAGCGCAGGCGGACUCUUAAGUCAGUUGUGAAAUACGGCGGCUCAACCGUCGGACUGCAGUUGAUACUGGGAGUCUUGAGUGCACACAGGGAUGCUGGAAUUCAUGGUGUAGCGGUGAAAUGCUCAGAUAUCAUGAAGAACUCCGAUCGCGAAGGCAGGUAUCCGGGGUGCAACUGACGCUGAGGCUCGAAAGUGCGGGUAUCAAACAGGAUUAGAUACCCUGGUAGUCCACGCCGUAAACGAUGAAUGCUAAGUGUUGGAGGGUUUCCGCCCUUCAGUGCUGCAGCUAACGCAAUAAGCAUUCCGCCUGGGGAGUACGACCGCAAGGUUGAAACUCAAAGGAAUUGACGGGGGCCCGCACAAGCGGAGGAACAUGUGGUUUAAUUCGAUGAUACGCGAGGAACCUUACCCGGGCUUGAACUGAGGGGGAAUGAGCCAGAGAUGACUCAGUCUUCGGACUCCCUUGGAGGUGCUGCAUGGUUGUCGUCAGCUCGUGCCGUGAGGUGUCGGCUUAAGUGCCAUAACGAGCGCAACCCUCAUCCUCGUUUGCCAUCAGGUAAUGCUGGGCACUCCGGGGAUACUGCCAUCGUAAGAUGUGAGGAAGGUGGGGAUGACGUCA